rnacentral:rRNA from 1 species
GGAAUAUUGGACAAUGGGCGAAAGCCUGAUCCAGCCAUGCCGCGUGUGUGAAGAAGGUCUUCGGAUUGUAAAGCACUUUAAGUUGGGAGGAAGGGCAUUAACCUAAUACGUUAGUGUUUUGACGUUACCGACAGAAUAAGCACCGGCUAACUCUGUGCCAGCAGCCGCGGUAAUACAGAGGGUGCAAGCGUUAAUCGGAAUUACUGGGCGUAAAGCGCGCGUAGGUGGUUUGUUAAGUUGAAUGUGAAAGCCCCGGGCUCAACCUGGGAACUGCAUCCAAAACUGGCAAGCUAGAGUAGGGCAGAGGGUGGUGGAAUUUCCUGUGUAGCGGUGAAAUGCGUAGAUAUAGGAAGGAACACCAGUGGCGAAGGCGACCACCUGGGCUCAUACUGACACUGAGGUGCGAAAGCGUGGGGAGCAAACAGGAUUAGAUACCCUUG